rnacentral:rRNA from 1 species
AGUAACGCGUGGGUAACCUGCCUCAUACAGGGGGAUAACAGUUAGAAAUGACUGCUAAUACCGCAUAAGACCACAGCACUGCAUGGUGCAGUGGUAAAAACUCCGGUGGUAUGAGAUGGACCCGCGUCUGAUUAGCCAGUUGGCAGGGUAACGGCCUACCAAAGCGACGAUCAGUAGCCGGCCUGAGAGGGUGAACGGCCACAUUGGGACUGAGACACGGCCCAAACUCCUACGGGAGGCAGCAG